GCUCUAGGAAGGAAACGUGCUGCAGACAUGGGGGUGGAGGGAUGGGGGUUAAAUGACCCGAAGAACUGCAGUGGACCCUGAGUGUGGGGCAGAAGACAAACUGGGUUUGAACAUAUGGUUCUGGAAAAGCAAACUAACCACAAAAACAAGUAAAGGGGAAAAGAGAAAGGAAACAAAAGCACACUGAUUUAUCCUAAGAAACACCUCCUCUUCCUCGUCUCAACCUCAUCAACACCUCCAUGAACCCCUGCAAAACGUCCAGUACAUGUAGCACGUGCGUGAAUGCACACCAACAGAUACUGAUCAACAACUGACGUUGAUCACAGGCGGGGAGAAAAUAACUUGAACUUCAGAUUCGUUCAGCAGUGCCCGAUGCUCUUUCACUAUCAGCCUCCGCACCUAUUCUCAGGCGCCCCAAAACAAAACAAACAAAAAACAACUCAGGGGCGGAAAGGGAACAGCAGCUGAGCGGAGUGGCACACGCUGGCAGCAUCCAUACCAUCGACUUCUGAUUAUUUCUGCUUUCCUGAGACGCAGCUACCAGCAUCGGACUAAAUACAGCACUGGAGAGAAACCGCCAGCACAGCGACACUCACAGACCCUCCCCGGGAGACCUGCACCCUUGCGUGUGCGGCUGAGGUUCUGUGAAAUGGACAGACGCUCAGGUGAGGCUCUGCCCACACGUGACCCUGCACACUGCGAAAUUCUUCCCUUCCACAAUCGCGCGGCCCUCCGAAGUCUUGCCUUACACCUGGUACGUGCAUAACACCUGGUAAUGUUGAUUCUGUAAGAAUACAUGAUGGGAGGGCAGAAAUGGGAAUGACCGGAGCUCGAUUUUUCUCGUGACCACAUCUCUCGUCCAUACGGUGCAACCCUACACACGGUGCACUGAAUAGAGUAGAAAGCAGACAAGGUAUUGUGCAAAAUGCAAGAACCCAGCUCUCAUCUGAUGUCUCACACACUCCCUUGACUUCAGGCAUUUUCCAGUCCUUUCUUCAAACGAGGAUAACAUAUUGGGAUGGGUAACAUUGGCAAAGCACUAUGGACUUCUCAGAAGAAAAGCAGUCAAUAAACAUAAGGUAAGCAGACUUGACUGCAGCCUCUCAGAGAAAAUGCAGGAAUGGCUUAGAAACUGAUCACCACGUACCCCAGCACUGCGCUCAGCCCAACCCCAUCCAUUCACUGCUUCCAUGUUUUCUUUCAAGCUCCUUCUCUUCCCUGUUGAUUUUUUUCCCAAGCACUAAACUACUGCCCUUCGUCUCAAACCCGACAAACACUUCUUU